rnacentral:rRNA from 1 species
UUGGAGGGCAAGUCUGGUGCCAGCAGCCGCGGUAAUUCCAGCUCCAAUAGCGUAUAUUAAAGUUGUUGCAGUUAAAAAGCUCGUAGUUGAAUUUCGGAAUCUGUCCAUCGGUCGGGCCUCACUGUUCGUACUGGUGUGGUGGGUUCUUACCUUCUGAAUAACCAGCAUGCCAUUAAUUUGGUGCGUUGGGGAAGCAGGACUAUUACCUUGAAAAAAUUAGAGUGCUCAAAGCAGGCCAGUGCCUGAAUACAUUAGCAUGGAAUAAUAAAAUAGGACGGCAUGGUUCUAUUUUGUUGGUUUCUAGGAUCACCGUAAUGAUUAAUAGGGAUAGUUGGGGGCAUUAGUAUUCAAUUGUCAGAGGUGAAAUUCUUGGAUUUAUUGAAGACUAACUUCUGCGAAAGCAUUUGCCAAGGAUGUUUUCAUUAAUCAAGAACGAAAGUUAGGGGAUCGAAGACGAUCAGAUACCGUCGUAGUCUUAACCAUAAGCUAUGCCGACUAGGGAUCGGACGAUGUUAAUUUUUUAAUGACUCAUUCGGCGCCUUACGGGA